rfam:Sarcophilus harrisii ctg7180002422115, whole genome shotgun sequence.
UAUUCUACCUGUAUCUAACCUAAAAUCCUCUGCUGAUUUCUUUCUCAAUUUGCAUGGUCUUUCUCCUGAAAUUAAAACUGAAAGAAGCAAAGAUGCCCCUUUGGGCUUGUGGUCCAGAUUGCUCUACUUCCAAGCUCAAAGAAU